rnacentral:rRNA from 1 species
GUAGGUGGCAAGCGUUGUCCGGAAUUAUUGGGCUUAAAGCGCGCGCAGGCGGUUCUUUAAGUCUGAUGUGAAAGCCCACGGCUCAACCGUGGAGGGUCAUUGGAAACUGGAGAACUUGAGUACAGAAGAGGAAAGCGGAAUUCCACGUGUAGCGGUGAAAUGCGUAGAGAUGUGGAGGAACACCAGUGGCGAAGGCGGCUUUCUGGUCUGUAACUGACGCUGAGGCGCGAAAGCGUGGGGAGCAAACAGGAUUAGAUACCCUGGUAGUCCACGCCGUAAACGAUGAGUGCUAAGUGUUAGGGGGGUUUUCCGCCCCCCUUAGUGCUGCAGCUAACGCAUUAAGCACUCCGCCUGGGAGUACGGCCGCAAGGCUG